ACGAACGUUGGCGGCGUGGAUUAGGCAUGCAAGUCGUACGCGAAAGAGGGGGCAACUCCUCGAGUAAAGUGGCGAACGGGUGAGUAACGCGUAGGAAACCUGCCUUCGAGAUGGGGGAUAACACUCCUAACGGGGUGCUAAUACCGAAUGACACUGCGGGAUCGCAUGGUUCUGCAGUCAAAGGUGGCCUCUGCUUGCAAGCUACCACUCAAAGAU
rnacentral:rRNA from 1 species